rfam:Erinaceus europaeus unplaced genomic scaffold scaffold00363, whole genome shotgun sequence
CUGCAGCCAAUUAAGCUGACUGUGCUGCCCUCCCCGUGACACCAGGUUUGCAAUGGUGGUAAACAGCAGCCUCCUGGGUAGUGUAUACAGCCUGUUUCUUGUACAGGCUGCCCUAAGGGAUUCUGGAGACAGCC